UCGCUCCUACCGAUUGAAUGAUCCGGUGAAAUCUUUGGACUGUCGUUGCAGUGAGGCGACUCACCGCGUCUUCGGGAAGUUGAUUAAACCUUAUCAUUUAGAGGAAGGAG
rnacentral:rRNA from 1 species